rfam:Pelodiscus sinensis unplaced genomic scaffold scaffold49, whole genome shotgun sequence.
CCAAAGGCUCUUUUCAGAGCCACCCAUCCUCUCAAUGAAGGAGCUU